rnacentral:lncRNA from 1 species
CUCGGAUGCAUAAGGCUUAGCUCUCAGUUGGCUGUUAGGUAUUUCCUCAGUUAAGGAACCAGACUGACGGUGACCAGGGUUAUUUUAAGGUGUUUUUGGAGAAUCUUAAACCAAAAAUGUUUCUUUUUUCUUUUGAUGUUUAUUUAUUAUUGAGAGACAGAGACAGAGCAUGAGCGGGGGCACAGGGUCGGGAGGGGUGGGCAGAGAGAGGGUGAGACACAGAAUCUGACGCAGGUUUCGGGCUCCGAGCUGUCGGCACAGAGCCCAACGCGGGGCUCAAACCCACAAACUGUGAGAUCUUGACCUGAGCCAAAGUCGGACACUUAGCCAACUGAUCCACCCGGGCGCCCCAGAACCAAAAAUGUUUCCAAGAUUCUUGAAUCCCAGACUGCCAAAGGAAUCUCCAAAAUCAGUCCACAUAGCAGAUGGGGUAGGUGAGAGAGAUUUUUGUGUGCAUGUGUGUGGUGGUGUUAGUGGAAGGAGUUGGAUCAGAUCAGCUGUUUCUGUUUUUAAUAGAAAACCAUGAUACUCAAAAAUGCUUGAUGAGACAUCUGGCACUUUUAUUAAGCCUCCGGCAACUAUCCAUCUCAGUAAUAUGUGCCUUACAGGCAAGGGUUCUGUUGGUUGGUUGAUUGGUGAGGGCUUGGGGGAGGUGGUCGGGUGGUUAGCUUCGUUCUGGUCAAGGCUCGACUUUUCAGUUGCCUGACGAAGUUAUGAGACCUCCAGUACCUUGCCUGAAAUGGGUCUUUCUGGUCAGAAUGAAUCAUGUGUGCCUUGGUGCUCUCAGAGUGGUUGGUAGACAUUUUAUUUUAGUCUCUGUUCUCCCCAGCAGUAGGCCACUUAGGACAGGGAGCUGGUCAUCCAGAUUUGUUUCGAAGCUUCAACCACAGUGCAUCACAAGUCAGCCCUCAAGACAGGUGUGCUGAUGUAAACCGAAUGGAACGUAUUAAAGAAGCUCCGUGGCUUGGUUUCUCCAUCACUACCAAGCAUUGAAUGGCCGUGGAGAAACAAAUAUCAAACAUCUGGCCCCCUUUCUCUCUCUCUUGGUGUCUCACUCUUUCUUGUGAGUGUCCCCUUAUCUUCCCUUCCCUCCCUUCUCUGCCUGUCCUCCUCUUCCCUUUUUUCAUCCUUCCCUCUCCGUUUCAUGGCCUCCGUCUCAGUCUCUAUUUCUCUCUGCAUGACUCUCUUACCCCUGUUUGUCUCUUUCUCUGCUUCCUCCCUUCUCUCUGCCAUUUAAAAGGUUUGUAGGUUGUUGACUGCACAAGGACACCUUGAGGAGAGGAGAGAUGAGGGCAGAAAUAUAUCGUACGCCCUGCUUGCCCAGGCACAAGCGCU